rnacentral:tRNA from 1 species
GCUGAAGUGGUGGAACUGGUAGACACGCAAGCCCGAGGAGCUUGUGGGGGAAACUCUGUGUGGGUUCGAGUCCCACCUUCAGCA